UACGGAGGGUGCGAGCGUUAUCCGGAAUUACUGGGUUUAAAGGGUGCGUAGGCGGCUAUGUAAGUCAGGAGUGAAAGUUUGCGGCUCAACCGUAAAAUUGCUUUUGAUACUGCAUGGCUGGAAUUAGGAUGAGGUCAGCGGAAUGUGGCAUGUAGCGGUGAAAUGCAUAGAUAUGCCAUAGAACACCAAUUGCGAAGGCAGCUGGCUAGACCUGGAUUGACACUGAGGCACGAAAGCGUGGGGAUCAAACAGG
rnacentral:rRNA from 1 species